CCUUGAACUGGCGGUGGAGCACCUGAGAAGGGCUGUGGCUGCCCAGGGAGCACAGGGACGUUGUUUGCAGCUGUGCUCCCCAGCUGAGCAGGACGGCUGGACCCAGAGAGGAGCCUCCAUGGGCUCAUAUAAGAGCCAGCCACGGGAGGGAAAAUCUCUCGGACCUGGGCUGCUUUGUGAGGAGGUGUUCUGUGUGGUCUGAGAGCCCCUUCACCAGUGGAGUCGUAGGAAACAGCAAGUGCAAAACAGAAAAGGAAAGCAAAGCAAGUCACCUAAUGCAGUGCCAUUACAAAGCAAUAGUCUCUGAGCUCAGAGUCUGUGCACAGGGAUCUGGUCUCCAGCUGACUUCUGUUAAGUGAGGCACUCAGUGAAUGCACUUCCAGAGGGAGCCCGGCGUUGGAUUCUUUCAUAUAAAUGCCUCAGCAGAGGGGACCUGGAGUGCUGCUUUGGGCCAUGGCUUGCAUUUCAAGUGUUCUUAUAAUGUCUUUCCUUUGUGGAAAAACAUCCAGACAAAACUUACCACAGCGAUGCUGCAUGGCUGUUGUUCUGCACAGACAUCCAGACCAGAGCAUUUCUUAAAAAUAAUUGGCUUUCUGGGAUCUUGGCAUGGGGCAUUGCACAGAUAGGGAAAGGAAUCUCUGCCUGGCUUUAAGCCCCUGCAGGGCCUUGCUAACCCUGCUGACAUGGAUGGGUUUUGCCCUUCUUACUGAUAACUGUAGCCAAGAAAACUCUCCAAACCAAAUGAUAGUUCAGAAAGCUGACAUGAGGAUACUGCAGCGUGGGGUGCAUAGGGGAUUUUUCCUCCUGGCAUACGUGCCAACAGCACGCUCUUUAUAGACAUUAAAAAAAGAAUAUUUAUAUGGUUUCCAAGAAUUGCCCAUCGGUUUCCAGGAAAUCUAACGCUGUAUAUACUGAUAUGUUUGCCAAACUGCCUCUGCACAAGGUACUGAAUCGGGUCUCUGGUGGUCCCUCAAUUUACCCAUGCAUGGUACUGAUGUUGAGGAACAUCUUGUUGUGCCUUCUUGGCACAUAUACUGCUCUUUAGCAUGUAGGUUUAGUUAUUUGCCUGGAGGCCCCUUCUCCCACACGCAGGGGCCUGCCCCCACUUUGUCUGGAGCACAGAGGGGUCUGCUGUUGAAUUGUUCAACAGCAGUUUUGUUCUCGUGAAUCUUCACAACAAGAAAGCAAAUGUAUCUUUAGCAAAGUAAAAGUGCAUAUAAAUCACAGGGUCUUCCAGAGCCCUGCAAAGAGCUCUGCAACCGUAUUUUGUUGUUCACCCUGUGUGGGACAUGCUGCCCUGCA